CAAGAGCGUAUAUUAAAGUUGCUGCGGUUAAAAAGCUCGUAGUUGGAUUUCAGUCUAGGAAGGUUAACUCGCCGAAAGGUUGUACGUUGAUUUUCCUCAGACUUCGUCAGAAGCUCGUGCUGCACUUAACUGUGUGGUACGAUGUUCUGACCUUUUACCUUGAGGAAAGUAGAGUGUUUCAGGCAGGCUACCCAGCUUGAAUACAUUAGCAUGGAAUAAUGAAAUGGAUCUCGGUUCGAUUUCGUUGGUUCUAGAGCUGAGGUGAUGAUCAAUAGGAACAGGCGAAGGUAUUCGUACUUGAGAGUGAGGAGUGAAAUCCGAUGAUCUCUUAAAGACGAUCCGAGGCGAGAGCAUUUGGCAAGGAUGUUUUCAUUGA
rnacentral:rRNA from 1 species